GGGCGUGUGGUCUAGUGGUAUGACGUCGGCUUCGCAUUAACCUGACGUGCGUCUGCUGAAGGUCCGGAGUUCGAUUCUCCGUUCGUCCA